GAUUUAGGAGUUCUUGCGCAAACUUAUUUACUGGUUCGAUGUUAAGUACCCUUAAACAAACUAAGUGACAAAGUUAAAGCCCCUAUUUAUAAAGGGAUGCUUGUAAGUAUACUAAAAUACUUCCUUGCAAACUUCAAAGAUUAGGAGUGGCUUUGUGAUUAUUGGAGUACUGAGGAACAAAUAGAACUGUCCAAGCAAAAUACGAAGAACUGCUUAACAAAAAAAGGCUAUAACAGUUCACAUGGAUCAAAAUCCUAUCCUACUCAUCGUGGAGAACUAGUAUAUAAAGAAUUUUUAUUAGUUAUAUAUUAUUUUAUUUACAUUUUUUUACCAUAAUUCAAAAUAUUGCUACAGAUUCAAUGGAGACUAAUCAGUUUAUUGGUGACAUUGAAUUUUACUGGGUUAUGUAUACCAAUCACAAAACAAAACAAUGGUGCAACCCGCAAGGUGAACAAGAUUACUUUUCUUGUGGUGCACAAAGUGAGAAUGACGAAGUAGUAGUGGAGUUGAAGAACAAACUUGCAUCAUACGAGCACAAACUUGCUGCAUGUACGUCAGUUAUUCAACAAUUAACCUCUCAACUGAACAUGCAAUUUUCUGAAUGCUUUGCUCAAUUUGAUCCAAGAACCAUCUUUCCUCUACCUUCGCCACCACAACACCCUUCGCAGGAUGAUGAUGACGACGACGAUGCUUAUCGUCCUGUGAUCU